CGGGAAAGCGAGUUUGUUUACUUGCCUCGCCGACAUGCGGCGCGCGCGGCCGAGGGAAGGCGGCGAGACUACGGCUCCCGGCGCGCCCCGCGCGGGCAAUGAUAGUGCCCCAAACAACAAGUGGAGACUUAUAAAGAGAGACAGGCUGCAAUCGGUAUUUGAAAUUCCGCAGGCGGGUUUCGCUACUGGCACGGGAGGGUCCAGUUGCAAUUACAUGAAGAUUUUUGGGCGCCAGGUUGGCGACCACAGUUUAAAAACCUCUGCCUUAGUCCAUAGUUAAUUCCAUUUCCAUUGUGUGUGCUGCUUUUUUUUUUUUUGCAUGCUGGGACAAAUGAAAUGUAAGAGCAGGCUAUAUUCAAGCAGUGUUGCAUUAUAAGUGAUCCCAGUGACAUCUAGUCCAUCCCUUCUGGCAAAUAAACAUUCCGUUGUGACAACUGUAACCUAGACUAAGGUGCGAUUUGGUGCCUAGCUUAUAUAUCUGAGUUUCUAACACUGGCUGCAAUUCUAGACACUUUAACUUACCUAAAUCCACAGGUGGGCAAUACCUAUAUUAGGACAAAUCAGUGUCACAAGCUAUUUUUUU